rnacentral:rRNA from 1 species
UACGUAGGGUGCAAGCGUUGUCCGGAAUUAUUGGGCGUAAAGAGCUCGUAGGCGGUAGGCCAAGUCUGCUGUGAAAGUCCAGGGCUCAACCCUGGGAUGCCGGUGGAUACUGUCGGGCUCGAGUCCGGAAGAGGCGAGUGGAAUUCCUGGUGUAGCGGUGAAAUGCGCAGAUAUCAGGAGGAACACCAAUGGCGAAGGCAGCUCGCUGGGACGUGACUGACGCUGAGACGCGAAAGCGUGGGGAGCAAACAGG